rnacentral:lncRNA from 1 species
CAAUCACACCCUUAAACUGAAACUUUAAAAACUUUUUAUUUUCUUUGUAUACAAUCUUUUUUUUUUUUUUUUUUUUUUUUUUUUUUUUUUUUUUUUUAAAUACAAACAUGAAAUACCCCCACACUUAUUCUUUUGCCAAACACCUUCAAAGUACUUCACAAACAUUUCUCAUAAGACAAUCUCGCAUUGCUCGCUUGGAAAGGGUAAGGAAAAAAUGUUUCAGGUAUAAGGGUAGACAUAUCUGGUGAUAAGAAAUAAAAAGCUCAACAUACACGGCUCAAAUUGGC